UACCAGCACCCCGAGUGGUCGGGACGAUUAUUGGGCCUAAAGCAUCCGUAGCCGGUCCUGCAAGUCUUCCGUUAAAUCCAGCUGCUCAACAGAUGGGCUGCGGGGGAUACUACAUGGCUAGGAGGCGGGAGAGGCAAGCGGUACUUUAUGGGUAGGGGUAAAAUCCGUUGAUCCAUAGAAGACCACCAGUGGCGAAGGCGGCUUGCCAGAACGCGCUCGACGGUGAGGGAUGAAAGCUGGGAGAGCAAACCGG
rnacentral:rRNA from 1 species